GCAGUCAAUAAUGACUAAAGGUGACCCCAAGAAACCAAUGGGCUAAGAUCUACUUUCCCUUCUUUGUAUAGGCCAGAAGUACAAAAAGAAAAAUCCAGAGAUCCCCAUUAGUGUUGCAGGUUUUUAAGAAGUCCUCUUGCAGGUCAGAGACAACGUCUAAGAAAGGAAUCUAAAUUUGAUGAUCUGGAAAUGAAGCAUUUUGGAGCAGCUAAGAGAGGCAGGAAGAAGGAUCCUAAUGUCCACAAACUAUCACUGCCAGCUAGCUUCUUGUUCUGUUUAGAGUUGUAUCCUAAGAACAAAUCCACAAACACUGGCAUCUUAACUGAAGACCAAAAUGUUAGGUAUGAUGUAGAGUACCCUUACUGAUAACAAAAAGCAGCCUUACAAUAAUAAGGGGGUAAAGCUCAAUGAGAAAUAUGACAAGGAUGUAGCCACUUCAGGAAAAUUUGACAGUGCAAAGGAGAAAGCUAAAGUUCCUUGGGGGGAAAAAAAAAAAAGAGGAGUAGGAUGAACAGGAUGACAGACAGGAGAAAGAGAGGGUUAAAGG
rnacentral:lncRNA from 1 species